rnacentral:rRNA from 1 species
UCGGGAAUUUUGGGCAAUGGGCGAAAGCCUGACCCAGCAACGCCGCGUGAAGGAUGAAAUCCCUCGGGAUGUAAACUUCGCAAGAACGGGAAGAAUAAGCGAGAGUUAAUAUCUUUCGCGAUGACGGUACCGUUUGUAAGCUCCGGCUAACUCCGUGCCAGCAGCCGCGGUAAUACGGGGGGAGCAAGCGUUGUUCGGAUUUACUGGGCGUAAAGGGCGCGUAGGCGGCCACCGCAAGUCGAUUGUGAAAUCUCCGGGCUUAACCCGGAAAGGUCAACCGAUACUGCGGGGCUAGAGUGCGGAAGGGGCAACUGGAAUUCUUGGUGUAGCGGUGAAAUGCGUAGAUAUCAAGAGGAACACCUGCGGCGAAGGCGGGUUGCUGGGCCGACACUGACGCUGAUGCGCGAAAGCUAGGGGAGCGAACGG